rnacentral:sRNA from 1 species
UUGACAGCUUUGGGGAUGAAAGUUUUUAACUUAUCCCCAGGCACAAGCAACAGCAUUGCAUGUUAUCCCCAUACCACAUAACAACAUGUCUUCCCCCUGACCUGAAAGGACCACCUCUAGGGUUGAGAAAGUAGUUUAUUUUCCAGGCUGUUUUUACACUUGGCCUUU